UUAUACAUAUUUAUUUUUAUAUAUAUAUGUAAGGGAUAGUUGAUCGAGAGUAGAGAUUUUGGCUAGCAGUAAGGAUAGCAGUGAGAGAUGGAAUUUCAAAUAAAGAUAGUCGGUUACUUUUGUCUGUGUCUCGAUCCUUACAAAAGUCGCCAGGAUAUCUGUGUGAAUACGAGAAUUAUGCUAUAUUUUAAAUAACUGUCGGGAAUCGGGACAAUAGUGACGCCAUUGCGUACAUUCAAGACCUUGCCACAUGGAUUUAAGCCUAACGGCAAACAUCGUUAAGUACAAUGAAGACGAAUAUAAUUGUCUUACGAGAAGUAGAAUCUUCAAAAAGAACACUUGAGUUUUUCGUGAAUGGGGACACAAUUUAUAAAGAGCAGUAUGACGAAUUAUAUGGAGAAUUCAAAUCGAUUGACAGGGGAUUUAGUGAUACUGCUAAUGACGACGAGUUUGAACAAUAUAAAGAUGACUUCGAGACAAUGCAAGUGCAG
rnacentral:lncRNA from 1 species